CUGCCAUCUGUGUUUGGAGACUGUGUCCCAGACUUUUGAGCUCACAUUAGUCAUGGCCACAGACGGGACUGGAGUCCUGCCCACUGGAGUCCCAAAGGUCUCUGGUGUUUGUUUUCCACUCUGCAUGCCUGGGUUGGGGGAUGGCAGGGGGAUACAGGUUGUUGGAGUACCUCCCAGCCAGGCCGUUUCCUUGGUUCCCUGGGGCUGCCUUGCUUCCUCUCUAGAUCAUCAGUCUCAGCAGAGGAAACCAAAAAUCUCCUCCUCGCCCCGCAACCACCUUUUGCUGACUGCUAAGCAUCCCUGCUCUGAAACCAUAACCACCAUAAAAGCAAUAGGCUUGUCUUCUCUGUUCUAAGCAUGUACUAUUCAGGUGAUUUAGGGGGAGUAAACAGGCCCAGAGAAAUUAAAUAAUUUGUCUAAGGGUACCGGCUAAUGAGGAUCUGAGCUCAGUUCUAAAUGACUCCAUCACUCAUGCUCUUUUUUAGUCCCCUUUAUAAUUAUUUUAAAAUAACAUUUAAUUUUCUGUUAUAAAAGGAACACAUGCUCAAACAAAAAACUUAGAAAAUAUAAAAAUGUAUGAAGACAAAACAAAAUAACCCCCAGUAUUAGCAAUGCCAACUUGCCAAGACAAAAAUGUUAACAUUUUUAUUUCUUUUUCUUUUCAAUCUUUACUCUCUGUGUGCACACACACACACACAGGCAAAGUGAAAUCACAUUGUAUAUUCUUUUUUGCCUCUAGCAUUUUCCACUUAGCUAUCUAAUAUUACUAUUUCCGGAUAUCAAUAAAUGAUCUUCAAUCCCAU
rnacentral:antisense_RNA from 1 species